GCUCCCUUUAGCAGCACAUAUACUAAAAUUGGAAUGAUACAGAGAUUAGCAUGGGUCCUGAGCAAGGAUGGCACACAAAUUCGUGAAGCAUUUCAUAUUUAC